GGGGUUGUGGCUCAGAGGUAGAGCACUUGCCUAGUAUGCAUGAGGCACUGGGUUCAAUCCUCAGCACCACA
rnacentral:tRNA from 1 species